CCGAUGGAGGGGGGUAACUACUGGAAACGGUAGCUAAUACCGCAUAACGUCGCAAGACCAAAGAGGGGGACCUUCGGGCCUCUUGCCAUCGGAUGUGCCCAGAUGGGAUUAGCUAGUAGGUGGGGUAACGGCUCACCUAGGCGACGAUCCCUAGCUGGUCUGAGAGGAUGAUCAGCCACACUGGGACUGAGACACGGCCCAG
rnacentral:rRNA from 1 species